GGGCUUCCAGCGUAGGGCGUAGGGGGAGAGGCCCGAAGCCCUGGAGACAGCGCCCGAGGGAUGGAGGCCGCGCUCGGCUGCGCUCAGGUCCGGGUGGCUCCGGGAGCUGAGACCCCGCAGGAUGCAGCGGGGGGGGGCCAGGGCCUGAUCCCCUACCCCUGCGAGCCAGGGCCGCCUACGCCCCCACUGCUUCCCACAGGCUACUAGACGCAACAAUAGAAUUACCAUAUUGUUUUUCCUGGUUUGAAAGGACCAGAUGGAAAGAAACUGGGCAAGCCAAUGAAAGUCUCUGGGGAUCAUGGGAAUUGAGUGUCUAUGAAAACCAUAUUCCAGACAAGAAUAUAGUCUAAGGUUUAUGGGACUCCCCAGUACUCUCCAUGUAGAGUCUAAUGUAGAAUCCAGGAGUGCACAGAAAAGUCACUGGAUGCUGGAGUGCAAUGGUGCAAUCUUGGCUCACCACAACCUCUGCCUCCCGGGUUCAAGCGAUUCUCCUGACUCAGCCUCCCAAGUGGGGUCGUGGCAUGUUGUCCAGGCUGGAUUUGAACUCCUGGGCUUAUGCAAUCUUCUGAUCCCAGCCUCUUGGGUAGCUGGGACUACAGGCAUGCACCAUAAUACCUGGCCAAAAGGACACAGCAAGAGGCAACAUUUUGGAAGCAGAGGGCAACUCUCACUGGAAACCAAAUCUCCUGGCACCUUGAUCUUGGAUUUUACAGCCUCCAGAACUGAUAGCUGGGAGGCAUUACAUAGUCAUGUGCGAGGUCAAAACUGAGUCACCACCACAACCAAGUUCCAGCUGGCAAGAAGAGGAAAAAUAACACAGAGGAGUUAUGACCAGUGUUGUAAGGAUCUGGCCUAGAAAUGGCAUGCAUCUCUUCCACUAAUAUCCUAUUGGUAAAAAUGUAGUCACAUGGGCACACCACCUAUCUGCAUGGAAGGCUGGGAAAUGUUGAUCGGUAGGGCAGCCAUAUGUGUAGGAAGGAGAAAACAGAAUUUGGUGGAUACCUAGUAGUCUCUGCCAUACCCUUGACCAGAAAUUUUUCUUCUAAAGAAUUUAAUUCUAAAAGUUAUAGACAUUCCCAAAGAUAUACCUGCAAGCAUCACAGCUUUGUGUAUAAUUGCAAAAGUUGAAAUCAACAUGAAUGCCCAAAAUAGUGAAUUAUUUAAACAGAUUAUUACCCAUAUUAUGAAGAAAUACUCUGCAACUCUUAAAAAUAAAUGUAAUGUGCCAGGCGCAAUGGGAUAUGCCUGCAGGCCCAGCUACACGGGAGGCCAAGGCAGGAGGAUCACUUGAAAUCAAGAGUUCAAGUCUAGCCUAGACAACAUAGUGAGACUUGGUCUCUAAAAAAGAAAAAAAAAAAUAAAACUGAUGUAAUGAAUAUAUAAUUACAACAAAAGAGGUCUAACACUAUAGUAGAAAAGUUUGGGGCACUCAUCCCAUUCAUAAUUAUUUUACAUUUAAAUUACUGUUCCUACUUAAGUGGUGAGCUUGGUAACCAUUUUCAUAUCAGGUGAUACUGCUGCAGUAAUCAUAGCUGUUUGAAUCAGGAAUAAUCCCAAUCACAUUUUCUCUUAAUCGUUUAUUAUACUGGGCAUUGGGGUUGCAAGAUAAUGCACAGUCCGAGCUCAAUACAUGUCUUCAUGUACCUGUAUGUAAAUCCCACUUUUAUUCUAAAAUUCUUUGAAUAUUUUGUUUCUUGGAACCCAAUGAUCCUAAGAAAAUUAUGUACUUUUACCUGAAAAUUAAAACCAAUAUUUAUAAAAAGUGUAUAUGCAGUAUGAUACCACUUUUAAAAAAAGAUAAAUUUAUAGAAAAAAGUUUAUAUGACUGACAACAAUGUCUCUGAGUGGUAGGAUUACAGUUAAUUUUUAUUUUCUUCAUUCUACUUAUCUUUAUUUUCUGAACUUUCUACAAUGAACAUGUUUUAUUUUUACUUUUGUUAAAAUAAAUAACAUUUAAUUUGACGGAAAAUUCUAAAAAUCAACAUUUGGUAACUUAAAUAUUCAUUGGCACAUGAUUCUGUGCCUGUUUCUGGGGGUCAUUCCCAUGAGAAGAGCAGGUAGAACUUAUGAGAAUAGAGCAGUCGAAAUAUUAUAGGUUUCAUAUUUUACGGCUUUAUUGAAAACAUUGAUAUAUUGAAUAUUCAUAAAUUUUAAUUUAACUUUCUUUUAUAAUCCUUAAUGUGAGGCUAAGGUAUAAGGAGAAAGGAGAUUGGUAAGGAAGUGUGAUACAUAUUGAAUCAGGUGUCAAGGUACCAUUUGUGCCUGGAUCUGACCAAUAGACCAAGGUAAAAAUCUCAAAGAAUGAGACUUGUAAUGAGAAUGCCACAAACUUGAAUACCUUAUGCACAAAACACAAACAUUGUUAUGCAUAAUGUACAUGAACCCUGAAACAAAGAUAAUGAUUUGGACCACCCAACUGAAGUGGCAUGUUAUGUUUUUGGCAUGAACAAAAGAAACAAGAGAGAAAAAAAUCAAAAUAAUUAAAAUAAAUUGUUAGAGAAAAGUUACUUUAAAAAUAGCUAUAACGCUUUGCAAUUUCAGUAACAGUUCUGCCUCUGAUGCAAUGUAAAACAUGUAUUAGACAUUCAGGCUCCACAAUAAAUUUUAAUGAGCACUACAAAUUUAGAAUAUAUAAAAAUAUCAGUAACCUAUGAAUUCAUCAACAUAACUCACUUUUCAGUUAAGUUAGGCUGAGUUGAAAUUCUACUAAGUUUUCCCAUAUUCUUGAUAAAGGCUAAAUUUGAAAUAAUUUAUUUAGAUGACUAAUUGGCAAUUUGAUAGUAGUUACAUUUUAUGUAACACUUGAUAUAAUAACCCAAAUUAAUUAGCUCAAUAUUAUCUUCUGUGGUUUAUUGAUCCAAAAGUACAUAUUUGUUAUGUAAACUUAUACUAUGUAAACUUGAAUUAGUUUUUUGCUUCCUUGAAUUAAUAAAGCCCAUUAAUGCAAAUCUAAGCCUUCAUAGACUUUUCCAAUCCUUAGUUAAAUAUUAAAAACUGAGUAUUGUAGUUAUUUGCUAGGUAUAAAAGGUGACUCAGAGUAGAGAGUAAGAUGUCAGCAAAUAGACAAUAAGAUGUCAGCAAAAGUGCCUCAAAUUUUAACUGCGUCAAGUUAAGGGCAUUGUAAAUACUGUAGUUUUAUGUAGCUUGCAACUUCUACUGAAAUGAGUUUAAUCAUGUCUUUCACAUAGCUGAAGUUUGUGUCA
rnacentral:lncRNA from 1 species